rnacentral:tRNA from 1 species
GGAGAUGUAGCUCACUGGUAGAGUACUUGCCUAGCAUGCAUGAGGGCUGGGUUCUAUCUCCA